rnacentral:tRNA from 1 species
CCCUCGAUAGCUCAGUUGGCAGAGCGGAGGACUGUAGGUUUUUCAACGGUGAUCCUUAGGUCGCUGGUUCAAAUCCGGCUCGAGGGA